rnacentral:lncRNA from 1 species
AACAGGAGCCAGCCUGGGGUGGGGGUGGGGGGCGGGCCGGAGGUAUCACUGCUUGGGGCCACGAGUUGGGGAGGCCGUCGGAGGAGGGUCCUCCCCGAAGGCAGGAAAGAGCUCUUGACAGCAUUACCCCAGAACCCGACCUCAAGACCAUCGCCCCUCCCCCGCGGGGCUUUCCGAGGCCCGGACACCCGACCCUCAAAGCCCCCAAGGCGGCUCCGGCUCCUGCGGGUCCCCUGCCCAUCCCCCAGCAGACUCCCCUCCCCACCCCCACCCCACCCCCGACAGCCUCCCUGGCAGCCGUCCCUGCACCCCUCCCCUCUCCCUCGCCCUCCGCCUUCCGCCCUCUCUCCCCAAGGGAGCUGGCUGGCUCCCCAGCUCCGCCCCCGGCCCCGCCCCUGCCCACAGCCCGCCGGCUCCACCCCUCCCGGCCCCGCUCUGGUCUGCGCUGCACUGCCACCGCCCCCUGACCCUCCGCCGGGGCAGCCUCCGCGGCGGCGGACCCCUCCCCCUCCCCCUCCCGGGGUCCGGGGCCGCCUCCCCCGCCGCUCCGGGCUCUCCCUGCUCGUCCCCCGCCUCCUCACCCCUCCCGACUGCACACUCCCUCCCUUCCUUCCCCCUCCUCUUUUCCUUCCUCCCCUCCCCGGCCCUCUCCUCCCCCACCCCGGCUUCCCUUCUCCUCUCCUCUCUUCACCUCGGUUCCCUCCCCCUCCGAGGCCCCGUCUCCCUUCCCCCUCCGCCUCCCCGGCAGCCUCUCGCUUCCCUUCCCUCCCGAGUCCCACUCCCCAGAACGGCCCCCGCCCCUUUCCCGUCCGCUUUCCGAGCCCCCGCCCCGCCGCCUCCUUCUCUAGCCGCCCCCCACCCAAACCUCGGGGUCUGCGGCUGGGCCGCUCACUCUGGCCCCCGUGCCCGGCCGUGCGCCCCCCUCCCCAGCCUCCCAGCUCACCUCCGCUCCCGCUCGGUGGCCCCCUGCCCCAUUUUUUUGCUCCCCGCCGACUUCUCAAGUUUCCCUCCCCUAGCCCAGGGACCCCUUUCGCCUCCCCGCCCCCCGCGCCCGCGUGGCCCCCCGCCCCGGCCCCUCCGCCCGGAUCUCGCUCUCGCCGCUCCGGGCUCCCGGGCUCACCUGUCAGCGCCCUUCUCGCGCCCCUCCCGAACGCCGGGUCCCCGCGCCUCCCCUUCCUCGCCUUCCCCCGGGCCCCCUCCCCUGAGCCCUCCCCCUCCUUUCCUUGA